UGGGGAAUCUUCCGCAAUGGACGAAAGUCUGACGGAGCAACGCCGCGUGAGUGAUGACGGCCUUCGGGUUGUAAAGCUCUGUUAAUCGGGACGAAAGGCCUUCUUGCGAAUAGUUAGAAGGAUUGACGGUACCGGAAUAGAAAGCCACGGCUAACUACGUGCCAGCAGCCGCGGUAAUACGUAGGUGGCAAGCGUUGUCCGGAAUUAUUGGGCGUAAAGCGCGCGCAGGCGGAUCAGUCAGUCUGUCUUAAAAGUUCGGGGCUUAACCCCGUGAUGGGAUGGAAACUGCUGAUCUAGAGUAUCGGAGAGGAAAGUGGAAUUCCUAGUGUAGCGGUGAAAUGCGUAGAUAUUAGGAAGAACACCAGUGGCGAAGGCGACCUUCUGGACGAAAACUGACGCUGAGGCGCGAAAGCCAGGGGAGCGAACGGGAUUAGAUACCCCGGUAGUCCUGGCCGUAAACGAUGGGUACUAGGUGUAGGAGGUAUCGACCCCUUCUGUGCCGGAGUUAACGCAAUAAGUACCCCGCCUGGGGAGUACGACCGCAAGGUUG
rnacentral:rRNA from 1 species